AGCAAAAUUCCCUUUUUGUGGCGAUAAAAUAACGUAAUUUAAAUGGCAAUAAAAAAGAGGACAUAUGACGUAUAUAUUGAUGUUUCUAGAAUGUCAAUUUUGACGUUCAAAAGCAGGUAGGGAAUAACUGGUAUCAAAUGAGUUUUAAUGUUAUCAAAUGAUUCAGUCAUUAACAAAUACAACAAAACAAACAAAUUUAUGAUGUUUAUUGCAGUACACUUAUACGGCGUAAUAGUUAUCUGGUGAGGCAGGUAGAGGCCCCGUCUAGUGUGCCCGAAAUGUGCCUUCAUCUAUAUCAUGCUAGAUGCUUCUGUCCAAAUCUGGAGUAUCCACAUGUCCAGCAGACUCUUCAACGAUGCAACAGCUAUAUAUGUUUUGACAUUUGAGAAGGAAGCCAAAGGUUUACCUUAUUUGUACAAGUUCGGCGUGCUUACAAAUAUUGGAAGACACCAAAAUUAAUAAUGUAUUUUAUAGAUAGAAUAGCAAUAAAAUUGGAGGUUACUUUAACUAAAUCAGAAAGAAAAAGUAUUUGAUUUAAAGAUAAGGAGCAAAAAUACCCUAGUCCCCAGUCAUCUUAGAUGAGAUAAGAGACUCAGUUUCGAAUUGCAAUUGGAACUCGCAUGCAUUUAUUGACAAAGAAAGACCUGCAUAUCAAAAAUUCAUUUAAUUUAAAAGCAGAGGAGUAUGAGUAUUUAUAAAUACAUAGGAGUAUUACAUCCAAAUGAUGCUAAAAGUGUAAAGACAUUGGGUUAAUGUUCUUUUUUAUAGGCCCUAAGAUAAUUUAUGUGUGAAACAUCCCAAAUUUAAUUCUGAGGAUUUUUUGUUAUUGAUCAUGACACAGGGCCAAGAAGAUUUGCUAAAUGAUUUUCAAGAAGACUGCAUAUGCAUGGAUCGUAAAAAUUGUCAAAGUUGUCUAUUUUCUUAAUUUCGUUAUAUUAUGUAAUUUAAAACAAAAUCAUUAUAAUAGUCAGUAUGGUUAAUUUGUGGUAAUUUUCUGUAAUAAAACUCAAAUUUCAUUAAUAUUUGAAUUUCAUGUGCCAAUUGUCAUUCACCUGAGGGGUGUUGUAGUCUGUUAUUAUCUUCAGUGAUGUAAAAUAAAAAUGUUGAAAUG